rnacentral:rRNA from 1 species
CAAUAGCGUAUAUUAAAGUUGUUGCAGUUAAAAAGCUCGUAGUUGGAUUUCUGGUGGGAGCGAUCGGUCUGGCGCUUAGCGCGAGUACUUGCAUCGUCUCCGGCCAUCCUUGGGGAGAGUCUGUCUGGCAUUAGGUUGUCGGGCAGAGGAUCCUCAUCGUUUACUGUGAAAAAAUUAGAGUGUUCAAAGCAGGCUUAUGCCGUUGAAUAUAUUAGCAUGGAAUAAUAAGAUAGGACUUUGGUACUAUUUUGUUGGUUUGCGCACCAAAGUAAUGAUUAAUAGAGACAGUUGGGGGUAUUCGUAUUCCGUUGUCAGAGGUGAAAUUCUUGGAUUUACGGAAGACGAACUACUGCGAAAGCAUUUACCAAGGAUGUUUUCAUUAA